rnacentral:rRNA from 1 species
ACGCUCGACACCUACGGGAGGUAGCAGUAGGGAAUCUUCCACAAUGGACGCAAGUCUGAUGGAGCAACGCCGCGUGAGUGAAGAAGGUCUUCGGAUCGUAAAACUCUGUUGUUAGAGAAGAACACGAGUGAGAGUAACUGUUCAUUCGAUGACGGUAUCUAACCAGCAAGUCACGGCUAACUACGUGCCAGUAGCCGCCGGUAAGUACUGAGCGGGCGUGGCGAAGGACG